AAACACAUUUCAUUACACCAAAAACUCAAAAUAAUGACCUUUUUAGAAACAUCAUAUGACCCCUUUAAGAGAUUUUUCUUUAUCUCAAGGUUAAAUAUCUUUGAAUUUGUUUUGAGUUGUGAAUUCAAAUUAAAUAAAAAUGGUAAUACUUGCAAUUACUCCCAAAACUUUGUUACAGAAGUCAGCAGCACUGUUUUUUCAAGGAAACACAAUUCUUAUUUUUGUGUUUCGUUUAUGACAGCUGAAUUCAGACAGUUCCACUUAUCGGACGUUAUGGAUUUGCAGUCUAUGGAGAGUGUUGUUGGGUCUCUAAAUGAUGGAAUUGUCUCUAUCUGUAACAUCUUCAAGUCUCUCUUGGAUGCACAAGUUGAUCCCACCACUGGCAUGUGCAGUAAUUAUGAACAAAUCAGGAAGCAUAUUAUCCAAGCUGACCAUUUCCUGGAAAAAUCAGAGACAAUGAUUAAGGAAAAACUAAAAAAUUUAGAUGAAUGCAUGGAGCGACUUAUUCAAGAAAAAGGAAAUGCUGAGCAGCAGAACAAAGAAAAACGCAAUGCAAUGGAUAAAUUACACAUCGAGAAGAACUCUGCUGAAGAAUCAUUAAAGAAUUCUAAAGCAGCUUUGGAACAGGCUGAAAAAAUGAUAGCAUUGACAAAAGAUGAACUACAAAGACAGCAAGCUAGACAUAACACUGGCACAGGUGUAACAAUUGGAGGGGCGGUAGUGGCUGCAAUACCAAUUAUCGGAUGGAUUCCUGGUAUAAUAAUGAUGUCUGUGGGAGCUAGUGAAAUUGUUAAGGCUUCAA
ensembl:lncRNA